GAAGUUUUCGGAUCGCGGUGACGCGGCGGUUUCGCCGCCGGUGUUGUUGUGAAAAGUUCAUUAACCCUUAUCAUUUAGAGGAAGGAGAAGUCGUAACAAGGUUUCCGUAGGUGAACCUGCGGAAGGAUCAUUGACCACACGAUCUGUGAAAAACUCUGCGAACCGUUUCCUUACAAAGAGGGAUCGUGCCGGGAGGCACGAUCGUCGAUGCCGGGAGUCAAGAUUCAUGUGCAUUCGCCGUGAUCGUCCCGUCCGGUGCGCGGCGGGAUAGUGGCUCCGGUUUCAUCGUCGGAUCGCCCCUUGACCCCAUGGUUUCGAAGUCCCACGGGACCCGGAAUCGGGAGUGGGCAUUGCCCCUCCCUUCCUCCAACGGGAGAGGGAGUCUCGCAGGACUCGUAUGCUCGUCAAAAGGCAGGACGAGUUCCUGCACCACCUCUCCCUUGGUGCCCAUUUUUUCUUCAAUGAACAUGAUAAAACAAAAGAUAUGUGACUGAGUGGAGCCGGGUGCCACGGCGCUCCCUGGCUCCCACGGAAGCAAAAAUACAAAUGACUCUCAGCAUGGGCACGGAUAUCUUGGCUCUUGCAACGAUGAAGAACGCAGCGAAAUGCGAUACCUAGUGUGAAUUGCAGAAUUCCGCGAAUCAUCGAGUUUUUGAACGCAAGUUGCGCCCGAGGCUCGUCUGAGGGCAUGCCUGCCUGAGCGUCCGCUCCGACCCACCCACCAGCCCUGUCCUUCUCCGAAAAGGGAAGCCAGGGACUAAGUGCGAGUGGAACUGGUCGUCCGUGAACUCCCUGGUCCCCGGCGGGGACUUUUGUAGGAUCAUCGGUUGGCUGAAAAAUGGGAACCGUCCGUCGAAACGCACGCUGGGAUAACGGUGCGUCGCGAGAAGGUGCCGUCCGUCUCCUGUCGUUCUCGAUCGGAGACGGGUGUUGGUUUUAUGGCGACGUGCCUCCCCGGCGUAGUCGGCAUUCGACGGUUCGGUGAGAGACUCAACAUGGGAGCGAGAAGGCUUGGACAUUCCCCCGUGCAACUCUCUCGAAAGAGAGAGGACGCGGGGGAUGUCCGGCCCGAACGCAACGUUGCUCGGACCUCAGAUCAGGCAAGACCACCCGCUGAGUUUAAGCAUAUCACUAAGCGGAGGAAAAGAAACUAACAAGGAUUUCCUUAGUAACGGCGAGCGAACCGGAAGUAGCCCA
rnacentral:rRNA from 1 species